UACGUAGGGUGCAAGCGUUGUCCGGAAUUAUUGGGCGUAAAGAGCUCGUAGGCGGUUUGUCGCGUCUGCUGUGAAAACUCGGGGCUUAACUCCGGGCCUGCAGUGGGUACGGGCAGACUAGAGUUCGGUAGGGGAGACUGGAAUUCCUGGUGUAGCGGUGAAAUGCGCAGAUAUCAGGAGGAACACCGAUGGCGAAGGCAGGUCUCUGGGCCGAUACUGACGCUGAGGAGCGAAAGCGUGGGGAGCGAACAGG
rnacentral:rRNA from 1 species